rnacentral:misc_RNA from 1 species
GAUGAAGAACGUAGCGAAAUGCGAUAAGUAGUGUGAAUUGCAGAAUUCAGUGAAUCAUCGAAUCUUUGAACGCACAUUGCGCCCCUUGGUAUCCCGAGGGGCAUGCCUGUUCGAGCGUCAUUUCACCACUCAAGCCUGGCUUGGUGUUGGGCGACGUCCCCUUUGGGGACACGCCUCGAAACGCUCGGCGGCGUGGCACCGGCUUUAAGCGUAGCAGAAUCUUUCGCUUUGGAAGUCGGGGCCCCGUCUGCCGGAAGACCAACUCGCAAGGUUGACCUCGGAUCAGGCAGGGAUACCCGCUGAACUUAAGCAUAUCAAUAAGCGGAGGA